GAAGGGUGGCAGAAAAGAGUGCACUAGACCUAAGCCCUAAUUAUGAGUUAAAUCUCCCCUUCCA
rnacentral:tRNA from 1 species